AUUGAACGCUGGCGGCAUGCCUUACACAUGCAAGUCGAACGGCAGCGCGGACUUCGGUCUGGCGGCGUGUGGCGAACGGGUGAGUAAUACAUCGGAACGUACCCUGUUGUGGGGGAUAACUAGUCGAAAGAUUAGCUAAUACCGCAUACGACCUGAGGGUGAAAGUGGGGGACCGCAAGGCCUCACGCAGCAGGAGCGGCCGAUGUCUGAUUAGCUAGUUGGUGGGGUAAAGGCCCACCAAGGCGACGAUCAGUAGCUGGUCUGAGAGGACGAUCAGCCACACUGGGACUGAGGCACGGCCCAGACUCCUACGGGAGGCAGCAGUGGGGAAUUUUGGACAAUGGGGGCAACCCUGAUCCAGCAAUGCCGCGUGUGUGAAGAAGGCCUUCGGGUUGUAAAGCACUUUUGUCCGGAAAGAAAUCGCGCUGGUUAAUACCUGGCGUGGAUGACGGUACCGGAAGAAUAAGCACCGGCUAACUACGUG
rnacentral:rRNA from 1 species